GAUUCCUACGCCAGAAACCCACAGCACUCAACUGGCAACAAUACCCUUGAUUGUAUCAAGAACAAGGCCAUUGGUCAGAUUUUCCUCAGUAGAAGUUAUCUGUGCCAGAAAGCCAUCAAAGAAACACAAUGCACUUGAAGACACCUUGGAAAUGUGGUGUGGAAUAGGAAGAAGGAGAGAAAAGGAAAUCUGUAAGAGGAAUGGAGACAAACAGAUUUGAAAGCAGAACAGUGAACCUGAGGAAAUGACUUCUCUGCUCCUCCUCAUGUUCCCAUGGCUACAGAUUAGAGCCUGGUCCCCUGCUUCGGUGUAUCUCCCUACCACAUGACGGAUGGACUCACCUGUUUCCCCUUCAGUUGUUUCUUGCUGGUCACAGCAAUGAGAAAAGUAACAGAUCAUCUGUACUGAGAACAUUGACCCACCCUCACCACGUCAAUGGGAAAUCAUCACUGUUUGCCCCGAAGGACUUGUACUAAUUGACAAAAAUUGGUCCUCACUCUUUCUACAAUUGAUCUGUGAGGCUCAUAUAUUUUUUUCCACUGAAAGAAAAACAAUUUUCCUGUCCCUUAGUUCCAGAAAAUUAGGCUUGUCUAAGCCAGGUGGUUUGUAAAUAAUAAAUUGCAUUAUCUGC
rnacentral:lncRNA from 1 species